rnacentral:rRNA from 1 species
UACAGAGGGGGCAAGCGUUAUUCGGAAUUACUGGGCGUAAAGGGCUCGUAGGCGGCCAACUAAGUCGGACGUGAAAUCCCCAGGCUCAACCUGGGGACUGCGUCCGAUACUGGAUGGCUUGAAUUCGGGAGAGGGAUGCAGAAUUCCAGGUGUAGCGGUGAAAUGCGUAGAUAUCUGGAGGAAUACCGGUGGCGAAGGCGGCAUCCUGGACCGACAUUGACGCUGAUGAGCGAAAGCUAGGGGAGCAAACGGG